rnacentral:rRNA from 2 species
AGCGAACGCUGGCGGCAGGCCUAACACAUGCAAGUCGAACGAACUCUUCGGAGUUAGUGGCGGACGGGUGAGUAACACGUGGGAACGUGCCUUUAGGUUCGGAAUAACUCAGGGAAACUUGUGCUAAUACCGAAUGUGCCCUUCGGGGGAAAGAUUUAUCGCCUUUAGAGCGGCCCGCGUCUGAUUAGCUAGUUGGUGAGGUAAAGGCUCACCAAGGCGACGAUCAGUAGCUGGUCUGAGAGGAUGAUCAGCCACAUUGGGACUGAGACACGGCCCAAACUCCUACGGGAGGCAGCAGUGGGGAAUCUUGCGCAAUGGGCGAAAGCCUGACGCAGCCAUGCCGCGUGAAUGAUGAAGGUCUUAGGAUUGUAAAAUUCUUUCAGUAGGGACGAUAAUGACGGUACCUACAGAAGAAGCCCCGGCUAACUUCGUG